UACGUAGGGUGCGAGCGUUAAUCGGAAUUACUGGGCGUAAAGGGCGCGUAGGCGGUCAGCACAAGUCAGUUGUGAAAUCUCCGAGCUUAACUCGGAACGGUCAACUGAUACUGUGCGACUAGAGUGCGGAAGGGGCAACUGGAAUUCUCGGUGUAGCGGUGAAAUGCGUAGAUAUCGAGAGGAACACCUGCGGCGAAGGCGGGUUGCUGGGCCGACACUGACGCUGAUGCGCGAAAGCCAGGGGAGCGAACGGG
rnacentral:rRNA from 1 species